AGUAAUGAAGCAAUAACUGCAAUCAGUUUCGACCUGAUAAUUUGAUAAAUAUUAUCCUUACUU
rnacentral:tRNA from 1 species